rnacentral:rRNA from 1 species
AUUGAACGCUGGCGGCAGGCCUAACACAUGCAAGUCGAGCGGAUGAAGAGAGCUUGCUCUCUGAUUUAGCGGCGGACGGGUGAGUAAUGCCUAGAAAUCUGCCUGGUAGUGGGGGAUGACGUUCCGAAAGGAACGCUAAUACCGCGUACGUCCUACGGGAGAAAGCAGGGGACCUUCGGGCCUUGCGCUAUCAGAUGAGCCUAGGUCGGAUUAGCUAGUUGGUGAGGUAAUGGCUCACCAAGGCGACGAUCCGUAACUGGUCUGAGAGGAUGAUUAGUCACACUGGAACUGAGACACGGUCCAGACUCCUACGGGAGGCAGCAGUGGGGAAUAUUGGACAAUGGGCGAAAGCCUGAUCCAGCCAUGCCGCGUGUGUGAAGAAGGUCUUCGGAUUGUAAAGCACUUUAAGUUGGGAGGAAGGGCAGUAAGUUAAUACCUUGCUGUUUUGACGUUACCGACAGAAUAAGCACCGGCUAACUCUGUGCCAGCCGCCGCGGUAAUAC